AUAAAACUCCUCCCGACCUGCUCUGUUCCAUGUGCCCCCUCUGCCACUUUAACACCUUUGUCCCUUUCCUUGAAGGUGUCACAUCUUCUGUCCCCAGACUCAGGAAGUCGGUCCUUGUUUUACCUGAAUCCUCUGAAUAGACUUCAGGGAAAGGAGAAGGUCAAGGGAAAAGUUUCAACAUGGGAGAGUAUGGUGUCAAGAUAACAGUCCUAUCAUUCGUCGUUGCAGAAGAACAGCCAUGGGGCUUGCCAAGAAACUAAGCAUAUCACCGGUGCAGUGAAGUCCCCGGCCAGCGGUCAGCAUGGCGAAUGAAGAAUGGAAGACUGCUAUAAAGCAAAAGAAUAGACAGCUGUGGGCUCCAAAAACUGAAUAUUCAGUCAUUCAAAAAAGGCUUUGAAAUCACUCUGCCGGAGUCUUGUGUAUAAUAAUUAAGCUCUGAACAAGUGUCUUUUAUGAUAUCCUACCCUACGCUGUGGGCCCAUGACAUUUGGCCCUGUACAAUAAAAUAUAGAAAUAGUGC